CUACGGGGGGCAGCAGUGAGGAAUAUUGGUCAAUGGUCGAGAGACUGAACCAGCCAUGCCGCGUGCAGGAUGAAUGUUCUAUGAAUUGUAAACUGCUUUUAUACAGGAAGAAACCUACUUACGUGUAAGUAGCUGCCGGUACUGUAUGAAUAAGCAUCGGCUAACUCCGUGCCAGCAGCCGCGGUAAUACGGAGGAUGCAAGCGUUAUCCGGAUUCAUUGGGUUUAAAGGGUGCGUAGGCGGAUUAUUAAGUCAGUGGUGAAAUCCUGCGGCUCAACCGUAGAACUGCCAUUGAUACUGGUAAUCUUGAAUGUAGUUGAGGUAGGCGGAAUGUGUAAUGUAGCGGUGAAAUGCUUAGAUAUUACACAGAACACCGAUUGCGAAGGCAGCUUGCUAAACUAUGAUUGACGCUGAUGCACGAAAGCGUGGGGAGCGAACAGGAUUAGAUACCCGAGUAGUC
rnacentral:rRNA from 1 species